UUGAGGUUAAUCUGGGACUAAAUGG
rnacentral:piRNA from 1 species